rnacentral:lncRNA from 10 species
GCGAGACUUGGAGUCUGCCCCGCGGAAAGCCGUUUCUAUGGGUGACGACGUAUGGCAACGCGUCUAAGGGAACGUCGGCGAGUCGACUAUUGUGUUCCCAAAGUCGCCCUGAAAUGAGGACAGAAGUUCGGGGGAGCCGGGGGCGUAGAGUAAAGGCACGAUCUGAUUGGCCCGCGGCCGCGCAACGAUGGGCGGGACGGGGCAGAAGUGUGGGCGAGCUGGGGCGUCACCGCGCGCCGGGUAGUCUCUCUCACGCCCUGGCGGGUGCGCAGGUCUCUAAACUGGGCGGAGCAAGGGAAGUGAUGUGUGGCCUCCGGAAGGACGCGCGUAAAUCCUCACCCAUAAGUAACGAGUCGCCGUGGUCAAACAAGGCCCUCCUACGAUACCAAUCGCGUGGCGGGUGUGGUACUGCCGAACCCGAGGAAUGAGAAAGGAGGCCCGGCAGAAAGUUCGGAUCAGCUGCCGGCCGUUCCCGGCGUAGCCUAGGGCGGGGAGGGAUUGACUCCCCGGAACAUCCCGGGGUAAAGACCUCGCAUAACAGCGAAACCGCUGAGGGACUGUUGUGUGGCGAGGCCUUGGAGACAGACAGGCCCACACACUCCCUUUCCUCGUGAGGGUCACCGACCUGCCUACUUGGGAACGACAUAGACCUGACAGUUGUGUUUGGGGGUGGAGGUUGAUGACCAGUUAUUGAAUGAAUCGCAGAGACAUUUGCGUAGGAGUGUUGAUGCAAGAUUUUCUUCUUUUUUUUUUUUUUUUUGAGAUGGAGUCUCGCUGUCUCCCAGGCUGCAGUGUAGUGGCAGGAUCUCGGCUUACAACAACCUCCGCCUCCCGGGUUCAAGCGAUUCUCCUGCCUCAGCCUCCCGAGUAGCUGGGACUACAGGCGCACGCCACCACGCCCGGUUGAUUUUUGUAUUUUUAGCAGAGACGGGGUUUCACCGUGUUGGCCAGGCUGUUCUGGAACUCCUGACCUCAGGUGAUCCGCCCACCUCGGCCUCCCAAAGUGCUGGGAUUACAGGCGUGAGCCACCGCGCCCGGCCCCCCUCUGGCCACUAUUAUUAUAGUUUUUAAAGCCUCUUAAUCGUAAAUACUAGAGUCUUAUUUUAUUCUUAGAGGGAAUUUUUAGAUGAGAGGCAAAAUUGUAAAAAGGAAAGUUUGAAUAUAAUUACAGACUAUAUUUUACGGAAGAGAAAUUGAAAAUGUACACUUUUUUCUAAAUAUUUAAAAUAAAUGUUUAGGCAGGCACAUUAGAAAACAUAAAAAGGAGCAAAAACUCAGCACUAAACCACUGGUCAAAGUUAACUGCUGUUAACAUUUUAGUGUUUUCCUUCUGUUGUUUUUUCCUAUCUUACAAAUACUGAAUCACUAAACAAUGCAUUUGUUAGACGAACAUAAACCACCCUGUGGCUUUAUCUGUGGAGUAGGA